rnacentral:lncRNA from 1 species
GCUUAAUACCUAGGCCCAGCUGGCUGGGGUCCAGACUUGUUCAAGCAACUCCCCAAUUAGGCCAAUUUACAAAUCUAGCCCAUCUCAUGUGAUCCCUAUUCAGAUAAUCUGGAGAGAACAUACCAUACUCCCAACUCACAUAAAUUACUGAAUAUAAAAUUUACAAAGAUACUCUAACCCAUAGCUAUUAAUUAUAGUAAUCGAAUUUAAGCAUUAUUACAACACAUUUCAUAUUGAUUUUAUACAAAACAACUCAUUAACAAACAAUCCAUAAAUCUAAGUUACAGAACAUCUUAUAUAUGGCUUCUGUUAUAUCAAAACAAUGCUCAACAUGGUUCUGAGCUCUUUCAUACAACCCUUCAAAUAGGUCUCAAUUUACAAAGGCAGCUACAGAGUUGUUUUUGCAAAUCAGCAUUUUGGUUCUAGCCCAAAUACUUCCAGAUCAUUCCUUUUCUUGUUACAACUCCACAUACAAAACAAAAAGUUUCAUUAGGAAGAGGGGUUGCUAGCACAAUAUUGCAACAGAGUAAUAAAACAGUAGAUAGUUCUAAAAUGGUCAAAAUCAUAACUCAUGAUGCAAGCACAAGCAUGACACAAAAAAAUUCACAUAUCAUUUUAACAAAACAGAAUAAUCUGAAAGAGAAGCAGUUCUAUGGCACCGUUCAUUGAAUAACAAAAGAAAAAACCUGAAACAAGUUCAAAGCUAAUAGGCUGGAGCAAUAGACAUAACACUAAUCAUGAACAAAAGCUAUAUCUCAUUUAUAAAUAAUAACAUGAAUGAUCCUAGAUGAAUAAAUUACAUACCUAUAACAGCAAAACCAAAGGGAAACAAAAAUGAAACUCUGGCUGAAGCUGGAGAGGAAAUAGCAGCAAGAAACAAUCAACACAACAGGAAAUCAGCCAAAAACCAAAGAGAUAACAACUGACUUGAGUGCCCAGAAUCAGAAUAAACAAUACUAGGGUGAACCAGUAGGGCAAUUUUUAAACAAAAACUGAGGUUGACAAGAAAAUGCAGGGAGCUUUUUCUUUUUUCUUCUGUGUAUUCAGAGGAUUUUUUAGGUGAAUAUGCUAAUGAAUGUGUGUGUGAGUGAGUGGUGAUCUAUUCCUUUUAUAGAAUGCACAAAGAUAAGCAUAAAAAGAGGAAUAUUCUACCCUAAAAUUCUGAAUGUCAGAUAGUACAAUAUCUUUUAAAAGAUUUGGUACAAUUGUCUGUCCUUUUUACCAAAAUUCAGCAUUUUCAUACUAAAAAUAGGGGCAGUUGUCCAAUACUAGAACCUUCUGAUAUUUUUCCUCAUUUUAAUUUCCAAAUUUACCUUUUUAAGUUCUUGUUAUUGCCAUUUUACCCCAAUCUGACCUAAUUUCAGUCGUUUGAUUACAAAUUAACCUCUUCUGGAACCUCCUAGAAACAUCUAGGCAAUUCUAAACUUGGAUUUCCUGAUUUGAUUUUUCAAUUAAACCCCUUAAACCUUUGUUAUUACCUUUCAACUCUUUCAACCAUUCAAAACAUAAAAAUCAAUCAACUGAAACUUAGUCAAAGCAGCCUAGCUAAAGCAAAUAUCCUGAUUUAAAACCUAGGCUAGUAAUUGAAUCAGAGCAUUUAUCUAAUUAGCCCUAUAAAUCCAAACAAGCCUGAAUUCCCAAAACAAAACAAAAACAACAGCAAAAAGAAAAAACAGAACAGUGAUGCAACAAAACCUAAUAGUUAACCUAAUUAAUCUAAACUUGAUUAAAUUAAACAAAUCAUGCAAUUAAACUAAUUACAAGUAAUCAAACUAAUUUACUUUAACCAAACAGUUUAACAUGCUCGAAAAAUAUUUUAAGUUAACCUAAACAGUGAGUUCUAAACCAAACAUUAAUUAGUCUAAAAUCAAAUGACCUUAAUUAAACAUAACACUCAAACUCAUGCACAAUCAGAAAAAGAAGAAAGAAAGAACAAGAGAAAGAAAAAGAGGGAGAAAGAAUAGAAAAUAUACCUAGCUGGCUUGAAUGAACUCCGGCAAAUCCGAAAAGCUCCGAAAUAGAUCAAAAAUAACGUUAAUCAAUCGUCCUCAUUGAGAACGAUCAACUAACGUUGGUUUCGUUCCAAAUCGAGUCUUGAAAACUCGAAGGAAAAUAGAAAAAUUGGAAAGGAGGGUAAGCUAGGGUUUCUGUCCUUUUUUUAGAUCUAGAAUUCGAGCAAUUUAGUGAGGAAUUUUGGGGAACUAAAGGUGGAUUAGUGAAGAGGGGAGGUUGAGGAUUAUCUAGUUAGGUUUUGGGGUGGUUUGGUGGUGGUCCGCCGCCGUGAGGCGAUUUUCGGGCGGCGGAAGACGAUGGAGCCGGUGAGGGGUUCAAAGGCAUGUUUUGAGUCUCUAAAUGAGAGGAAGGAGAAUGAGACGGAAU